CGAGAGAUACAGAGUUUGAUCMUGGCUCAGAACGAACGCUGGCGGCAGGCUUAACACAUGCAAGUCGAGCGCCCCGCAAGGGGAGCGGCAGACGGGUGAGUAACACGUGGGAAACUACCCUUUGGUACGGAACAACUCCGGGAAACUGGAGCUAAUACCGUAUGAGCCCUUCGGGGGAAAGAUUUAUCGCCAUAGGAUGUGCCCGCGUCGGAUUAGCUAGUUGGUGUGGUAAUGGCGCACCAAGGCGACGAUCCGUAGCUGGUCUGAGAGGAUGAUCAGCCACAUUGGGACUGAGACACGGCCCAAACUCCUACGGGAGGCAGCAGUGGGGAAUAUUGGACAAUGGGCGCAAGCCUGAUCCAGCCAUGCCGCGUGAGUGAUGAAGGCCUUAGGGUUGUAAAGCUCUUUCGSCGGGGACGAUAAUGACGGUACCCGSAGAAGAAGCCCCGGCUAACUUCGUGCCAGCAGCCGCGGUAAUA
rnacentral:rRNA from 1 species